CCUACGGGAGGCAGCAGUCGAGAAUCAUUCACAAUGGGGGAAACCCUGAUGGUGCGACGCCGCGUGGGGGAAUGAAGGUCUUCGGAUUGUAAACCCCUGUUAUGUGGGAGCAAAUUAAAAAGAGAGUACCACAAGAGGAAGAGACGGCUAACUCUGUUCCAGCAGCCGCGGUAAUACAGAGGUCGUAAGCGUUGUUCGGAAUCACUGGGCGUAAAGCGUGCGGAGGAUGUUGCGUAAGGCGUGUGUGAAAGGCGCGGGCUCAAACCGCGGACGGCAGAUGAUACUGGCAGACUAGAGUAAUGGAGGGGGAAGCGGAAUUCGCGGUGUAGCGGUGAAAUGCGUAGAUAUCGCGAGGAACACUGGUGGCGAAGGCGGGUUCCUGGACCUUCACUGACGCUGAGGCACGAAAGCCUGGGGAGCGAACAGGAUUAGAUACCCGAGUAGUC
rnacentral:rRNA from 1 species